AUCCUGGCAAACAAUCACUUUUGAUAAACAGCCUGCAUCUUUUAUCAGAAUAGUCGGAACUCACAACACAGCUAAUGAGGUGUUUCACUGUGUGCAUUUUGAGUGCCCAGCACAAAACAGUACCCACAAGGAUGAGAGUAGUAAGGAAGUGGCAACAACAGAGGUGGGGACUGGUGGACAACAGCUUGUUUCUCGCCCUGUUCGAGCUGCAAGCACUAGUUCCUUGCAUUCCCCUCCUGGAUCCACCUCGCGUUCACAUGCUCACCAACUGUAAAGAAGAUUGAAAGGGAGCUUUUGCAGCCCCGCUGACGUUAUAUGGAAUUAUUCAGAAUCUUCUUGUGCUGGCACCUUUUCUUUCUUUUUCUCUGUGAACAAAGGGGACCAUGUGUGAAAGCUGGAAAUGCUGAAAUGGAAAAGGCUUUUCCCAAGGACAUGAAGAGACUGCUUCAGUCUCCUCAAUUUGUUCAAAUCAGGCUCGUCUCUGAGGGGGGAGAAAAUAGGUCUUCAAUCUUCAUCAAGUACCCCAUUAACACCCUACCUCUCUAAUCUAACCAAGGCAAGGAGAACAGAAGGAAAUAAAAGGCAGAGCUACAGUAGAAAUCUAAAAUGACUCAAGCAGAAUGAAAAGCAUAUGAAAUAAGUGUGUGUUCCCUGAAGGCUUCCAUUAGCAAAGAAAAUGUUUAUGGAACACAUCAGUCCAGAAUAUAUGUUAUUUUUAAAAGUUAUUCUUCAUUCAUAUUCCUUUGUAACUAGUAAUCUGUUUUCUAAAUUGUUUUGACUCU